rnacentral:lncRNA from 1 species
UGACCAUCACACCUGAAGAAAAGUCUCCCUGUGUCACAGAAAAAGGGGACACGUCCGUGCUUCUACACCUGCAUUGCUUGCUGUUUGGGGUUUUAGGACAGGUUUCUGUACAGCACUUUGAGAUAUCAGCUGAUGUAAGAAAGUCUUUAUAAAUCAUUUUGAUUUGAUUUGAUUUGAUUUGUCAGGAAGUGGGGAGGUUUUCGUAUGCUUUUUUUCUGUCACGAGCAGCAGAAGCUUAAUUUUGCGCCAGAGGGAGGUUAAUGCUAUGACUCACACGUGCGUGAGGGGAUAGGCGAUUCACGCACUAAUAAAUAUAUUAAAAAUGAAACAUUCUUGAGGGAAAAAAGGUCACUGGCACGCUACUGGAUGUAAUUUGUCUCGAUGUCGUUAUUCCGUUGUUGUUAGCAUUGAACUGUCUUGCGUCUCAGAACGUUGGGUGGAUAGAGAACUGUAAUUCGGUUGUUUGGUGGUAGUUUCUCUCGACAAGACAACCUGUGCACCCGCAAACGAAACCGGUUGGAUAUUUCCGUUGAGAAUCUGAUAAGAGUCCCGGAGCGCACAGGAAUAACGGAGGACUAAUGGCCACGUCUGAACCGACAGCCACUGGCGGGGACCAGGACCCCAACUCUGCCAAUUUACGACCUUCGUCUACAAACUAUGACGCGUGGAUGCAAGGCUGCACGCGGAAACUGGGUUUGAAGAUCUGUGGUAAGUUUAAGACCCAUAAACCAUCAUGGAUACUAUAUGGAAUACUCUGAUGUUAGAGCAGGGCCGUCCCGGACUGUCACUCCACAUUCUCAUCUCCUAAAGGUCAGUUAGCGAUUAGCUUUAGGCCACGCGAUGCGCGCCGGGGUUCCGUCGCCGACCACCCCAUGUCUCUUCCUAUCCAUAUCUCUACAGUUAGCAAAGGAUAGGAUGUAGGCCCACAAUACGGCAAGUAACAAUAUGCCUCAGAAAUAUAGAAACAUGUCUAAACAAACAAGAUUUAUCGCGAGAUGGAUGUGUCCAAUAUAGGCUAGUUGUUUUUUAUGCUGAGUUAGCUGUUAACAUGUUUUUUGCACAUAGGCUAGGCCUAAAUAUUGCACCUUCUAAUAGCUUUUUAUUUUAUAAAGGCCUUAUCAUAGAUUUUUUUUUAAAGCAUUAAUUUCCUCUCCUUUCCGUUUGGAGGCGACUAUGGAUUUGGGUCCCUUCAUGCAAAACUGAUUUUUUUUUAU